AUUCCCUUAGUAUCGGCUACCGAACAGGGAAAAGCCCAGCACUGAAGCCCACAAUUGGUAACAAUUUGUCGGGCAAUGUAGUGUUUGGGAGAACUCUAUAUAACCUAAAUAUAUAUAAGUGUGUCCAAGUCCUUCUUGAAGGGGGCCAUUAACCCAUAGAGGGUGCCAGGCCCGUCGUGACCAUUUAUUAAUUUGGGAUGAGUUUCUCCUUAGAGUCGAGUUGCUUGAGAGUGCAGCUCUAAGUGGGUGGUAAACUCCAUCUAAGGCUAAAUAUUACUGCGAAACCGAUAGCAAACAAGUACCGUGAGGGAAAGUUGAAAAGAACUUUGAAGAGAGAGUUCAAUAGUACGUGAAACUGUUCAGGGGUAAACCUGUGAUACUUGAAAGUUCGAACGAGGAGAUUCAAUUAUCUUACCGAUUGUAAUCAGAGAUAUGUGUGUGACAUUAUAUAUCCUAUUAGAAUUUUCGAAUUUUAAUAGUUAGUUAAUAUGAUGCUCCCAUAUUUUAUGAUUUUACUACGAUCGGGGGUAUGCACUUCUCCUCUUGUAGGGCGUCGUAACUCAUUGAUUAUUUGUUGUUUAUGACUUUCAUUGGUGACCGUGACACUAAAGUUUUUAACUUUAUUGUGAUCCGGACUUUGAAAUGUUCAACAAUCUAAUCGAUGGUAUUGUUAUAUUAAAAUGAUGGAUCGCUAAUUUAUUUAGUGAGAGCGUUCAUGCCUAUAACAAAUUGAUAAAAUUAUUAUAUUACGGAAUAAUAAUCUUUAUUGAUUACCGUAUAUGAUAAGAUGUAUUUAUUAAUUGUUGUAGUUAUAGCUUGCUUGAACCGUUCCAUGUCAUUUGUUAACGACGUUUAUUAUUUGGGUAAUCACAGGACCCGUCUUGAAACACGGACCAAGGAGUCUAGCAUAUACGCGAGUCAUUUGGAUAAUAUAAAAUCCAAAAGGCGUAAUGAAAGUAAAUUAUAUAAUAUAUAUUUUAUAUAUAUUUAUAUAUAAGGGAAGAUGGGUAAUGAAAAUUACCUCGCACUCCCGGGGCGUUGUAUACUUAUUGCAAGUUAUGGCGCACUUAGAGCGUAUAUG
rnacentral:rRNA from 1 species